UAGGGACACGAUAUCGAAUCCGAUACUUUACUCAUAUCGCUACCUUUUGAUUCGAUACUAGUAUUCAGAAAUUCGAUACUUCCUUUCGAUACUUAGUACUCAUAUCAGUACUUAGCAUCUAGUAUCGAUUCCAUAAAAAAAAAAUGAAACGAGCAACUAACUCAUAAAUACCAAUUUAACGCAUUUUAACGUUCCUACAUAGGUAUUCAGAACACAACGUAAUUUAAAAAAACAUAAAAAUAAAUAAACGCAAUAUAGUACUGCCAACAUGACGGCAAAGGCCUUAUAAAACGAUGAAACGGAAUGGGCAAUACCAAUACCAAGUAGUCACAUGACUCACAUCCAUGAUCCAUCUAUAUAAUCUGUGGUAGCCAUUUUGUUUUAUUGUCAAUCACGCAAAACACGCAUGUAUCGACACUCAGAACAAUAAUUGAAAUUUGCAUUAGUUUCGUUCACGUAUUGAUGAUAAUUAUUUCAUUUGGAGAACCUGCAGUGAACGGAGUGAACCUUAGUGGGACUGUGAUGAGAUUUAUUUGAAGUUUUAUUGAAGUAAUUGUGGACAGUCUAGUUUACACGCUGCAAGAAUGGCGCCUCCCCAAAGCGAGAUAUGGAAAUAUUUUAAGAAAAUAAGUAAUGAACAAGCGUCAUGUAAGACCUGCUUUAAAAUAAUAAAAACAAGUGGGAAUACGUCUAACAUGAAAAAACAUGUGAAGCAGCACUCAAACAGUUCCUUGGACGAAGUCAGUUCACCUAAACCUCGGUUACUGCAACAGCAACUGAAAAGGCAUUGUACAACAACUGCAGAUUCUGCUACAGCUGCUACUUCUUCCACUUCAACAGAUAAUUCUCUUCCUUCAACUUCUUCCACUGUUGAUUCUAUAUGUAAUACAAUUUCUUCUGAACAAUUUGACAAGGACACUGCUGAAAACAUUAAAAUUGCUUCACAAGUCACACCAUCCCAGAAACAAAAACAAAUGUCAAUCACAGAAACUUUGAAUCGUAAAAUGUUAUACUCUGAAGGAGGAUCUAGGCAUUCCUUAUUAUGUAAGUUACUUUUAUACUUUAUAUGUGUCGACAAAAGACCAUUUGAUAUCGUCAAAGGAAGAGGAUUUCGCCGACUCAUAAAGCAAUUAUGCCCUACUUUCAAAAUUCCUAGUGUAGAUACACUUAAAAGUCGUCUAGAUGACUUAUACGAUGUGAUGGUGUUGAAAACUCGACAAGACAUAGAAAAUGUAGGUUACAUAUCCCUUACAUGUGAUAUUUGGACUGAAACAAUGACCAUGACAAGUUAUCUUGGUGUUACUGCACAUUACUAUCAUCAAAAUGAAUUAAAAGCAAAGGUGUUAGCUACAGUCGAAUUAGAUGAGAGGCACACAGCUAUCUACAUAGCUCACAAUUUAGAUAAUAUUUGUGAUUCUUUUAAUAUUACAAAAGAAAAAAUAACUAGUGUAGUAACAGACAAUGCCGCAAAUAUGAUAGCAGCAAUCAACAUGUUUUUGGACAGAUCAAAACACCUUCCUUGUUUCGCACAUACCAUUAACUUGAUUUUUGAAAGUAUUAUGAAAAUUGAAGAGUUUGUGUCCUUAUGUAAUAAAAUCAGAAAAGUUGUUAAAUUUUUUCGUGACAGUGUUAUACAAAGUGACAUAUUACGAUCAAAACAAGGUGAUAAUCCUCUAAAAUUGAUUCUUGAUGUAAGCACACGGUGGAAUUCGGUCUAUUUCAUGAUAGAAAGGUAUGUAAAAUUAGCUCCAAUAAUUCAUCCAAUAUUAGUUAUGAAUCCUAAGGCGCCACCAACUCCAUCUGCAAAUGACCUAGAAAACUUAAAUAAAAUACUAAAAAUAUUAAAACCUAUUGAAUAUGUCACGCGCGAAAUGUCGGGGGAGAAUUAUGUCACGGCAAGUAAAAUCAUCCCUAUAAUAAACUGUUUAAAAUCACAAAUAUCAUCUGCUGAAGUAGAAAUAGAAGAAGAGGAAUGUGAAGUAAUUAAUAAAGUCAAGGAUACGAUUUUAAACCAAAUAAAACAGAGAUUUGGUCAUGUGGAAGAUAAUUACAUAAUAGCGGUUUCUUGUAUUUUGGAUCCUCGAUUCAAAACCUUACAUUUUACGGAUCCAAAAGCAUGCGCUAAAGCGCUAUCGGUUAUUCGAAGGAAUAUGAAAGACUAUAUUACAAGUAGUGGCGAAGAGAGUGACGUUGCUGAGUCAAAUGAUUCAAACCUGCCGCCGGAAUACGAUUUUUGGAGACUCCAUAAAAAUUUAGCACAUGGUAAAAAUAAAAAAAAGUCCAAAUGGGAUGCAGCGGGUGCAGAAAAGGAUGAGCUUUCUCUGUAUUUGGCAAACCCCGUGGGCCCUCUUACCGUCAACCCACACAUACAAUGGGAAGAUAUGAAAACUAUUUUUCCAUUACUGUAUAAACAGGCUCAGCAAUAUCUUCACUCACCUGCUACAUCUGUACCCUCAGAGAGGUUAUUUUCGAAGGCAGGAGUAACACUAAGUAGAGCAAGAAACAGACUUAAAGGAAAAAGAGUUAAUAAACUCUUGUUCCUCGGUGACUGUACUGAAGAAGAGUGGAAUAUUUAAGUGCUUUUGUUUAUAUCUUCUCCAUGAUCUGUUUGCUAGAAAUAAAACCUUUUUUUGUGUCUAA